rnacentral:rRNA from 1 species
GAUUGGAUGAACCUAGGUGGGAUUAGCUAGUUGGUGAGGUAAUGGCUCACCAAGGCGACGAUCCCUAGCUGUUCUGAGAGGAUGAUCAGCCACACUGGGACUGAGACACGGCCCAGACUCCUACGGGAGGCAGCAGUGGGGAAUAUUGCACAAUGGGGGAAACCCUGAUGCAGCCAUGCCGCGUGUGUGAAGAAGGCCUUCGGGUUGUAAAGCACUUUCAGUAGGGAGGAAAGGGUGAGUCUUAAUACGGCUCAUCUGUGACGUUACCUACAGAAGAAGGACCGGCUAACUCCGUGCCAGCAGCCAGCGGUAAUA